rnacentral:rRNA from 1 species
AUACGUAGGGGGCGAGCGUUGUCCGGAAUGAUUGGGCGUAAAGGGCGCGUAGGCGGCGCGGUAAGUCUGGAGUGAAAGUCCUGCUUUCAAGGUGGGAAUUGCUUUGGAUACUGCCGCGCUUGAGUGCAGGAGAGGUUAUCGGAAUUCCCGGUGUAGCGGUGAAAUGCGUAGAGAUCGGGAGGAACACCAGUGGAGAAGGCGGGUAACUGGACUGCAACUGACGCUGAGGCGCGAAAGUGUGGGGAGCAAACAGGAUUAGAUACCCUGGUAGUCCACACUGUAAACGAUGAAUGCUAGGUGUAAGAGGUAUCGACCCCUUUUGUGCCGGAGUCAACACAAUAAGCAUUCCGCCUGGGGAGUACGGCCGCAAGGUUGAAACUCAAAGGAAUUGACGGGG